GUCUCUUUCACUAUCACUUCCCUGAAGUCAUCUCGGGAGGUCUAGGAUCCUUCAGUGUUGUUUCUCAGGUAUAACUCUGGCUCUGCUUAAUCAAUCAAUCAAUCAAUAUUUAUUAAGCACUCACUGUGUGCCAGGUACUGAGCUAAGUGCUGACGGGAAAAAAAUAAAAAAUUAAAAGGCAAAAAACACUUCCUGCCCAGAGGAGUUCACAGUCUUAAGGGGGUUGGGAGUGGGGGAGAUAGGCCAAAUGCAAACAAAUAUAUACAAAGCAAGUUCUAUAUGGGAAAAGUAGGAAAUCAUUAACAGAGGGAAGGCGCCGGAACCAGGAGAGGCUGGAGAUGGUCUCUAGCCAUUUGAACAAGACUGGAGUCAAUUUUAAACCAUCAGAGAUGAGAUCCUCGGCAGAGACGAUCUGCUCCAACUGCACAUCUGACAGAUAGGGAGACGGAAAAAAGAAAGAAAAAGUCCCCAAACCCGAUUUGCUCCAGGUGAGUCAGGCCAAAGGAACAGAUGCCGAACCCACCAAGUCACGCGGACCAGGCUUCGCGGGAGCGACCCCCAGUCACCCGCUCUUAUUUCAUCCGCUGUCCUCUCCCCGUUCACACCGUCUGCUGGGCCAUUUCUGGAUUGGUUUUCCAUCAGGAAGCGCCAGUUCAGAAUCCGGCUCUCUGCUUCUGGACCUGGGGAGCAUGUUGGUUCCGUCCAGGGAGGGGCCGUGGAGUAAUUAAAAGCAAGGAGCCAGACAGUGAUCUCUUUGAGGACAGGGACCACGGGGUUUUUGCUUUUCCUCAUAAUCACAGGACCUGGCGCACAGUAGGUCCCUUGAAGUGAUCCUGCUGCUGAUGGGGGCGGGGGCUCAGGGAGAAGGGCUCGUUAUUAAUGGGACGGACAGCUGCCUCUGGGGGGGUCCGAUUCCGCGCCCGGCGAGCGGGUCUGUGCUUCUGUGUGCCUAGGACCGUGUGUGUGAGGGGGCCGGAGGCGUCGGGGGGACAUGUGAGCCGCCUUUGUCCCCACGGGUGGCCCUCCUCCCCGACCCAGGCCCGGGGGCUCCGGAGGGCGGCUCUCAAUUCCAGGGGGAAGUGAGAGGCCCCACCUGCUUCCCCACGCUCAGCCUGGGAGGAGCCCCGCAGCCGCCAGCACAGGACACAGGGCCGGUCCGAGGCCCUGCUCCCUGAGCGCUGGGAAGGCCACAGGCAGAGGCCCGCUCCCCGGGCUUGCCCCUCCGCUGGGCAGCUGCCCUUCCACGGGGCGCAACCCUCCUGAGUGCAUUUGCCACACUGAAGCAGCUCCGGCCGUCUCCCUAGCCCCUCCCUGGGACAAUUAUCCUGGAUGUCCUAGUGCUGGUGUGGGAGGCACUUAAGGACAGGGUGGAGGCAAGCAGGAGGGACCAUUGUUACCUGGGAGGGAACUGAGCCCCUGGAACCUGGAAUGGGAGGCUCAGAAGCUGGGUGGGGCUGAAGCCAGGAGCCCAUGGCCACAUUUGCAGCCAGAGAAUCUGAGAAAUGGGCAAAGGCUACAAAAACAAAUCAUUGUUAAUUAUCGAGGCUGGAAGUGAUGGAGAAAAUUUUAAUACUGCAGCUUAAGCUUACAAUUGUAUUAGGUUCCCACUCCCGCCCCCCCCCCCCAAAGCCAGUUGUUAAUCAUUUAUUUUCUUGGGCACUCCUGUCUAGAACAGAAAAUGUCAUAGUUAAGAGGGGUUUUUGGACAAAAGACUAUGCAGUGGUUCUCAAACUUUUGUUUUCAGUGUCUUUAUCCUGCUAAAAAUGAUUGAGGAUCUCUCCAAAGCGUUUUUGUUUAUCUGGGUUAUAUUUAUAGACAUUUACCAUAUUGGAAAUAAAAGCUAUUUAUGAAUUUGUAGACCCUCUAAAAGGGUUUUGGAGACCCCCAGGAUUCUCUAGACCAUACUUUGAGAACCACUGGUGUAGAGCUAGAAGGUGGUGAUGGCAGUGGUGGUACAUGGGGGGAGGGAAACUUCCUAAUAGUGAAUAUUUAUAUAACAUUUUAAGGUUGAAAAGUAUUUUAUGAUUCAUUAUUUCAUUUUCUCCCCACAAAAAGCCUGGCAUAGCUUUAAUCCCAUGAACGUUAUUUCAUUUUUACAAACCAGAGAACUGGAUGGGUCCAUUGCCCAAUUUGUUCCAUAGGCCCAUUGCUUUUUCAGUUGGUUUUCUUCUUUGUAAAAGAGCAGAUGUAGUCAUAUCUAUAGCUAUCUUUAUAUAUAAAUCUCCAUCUAUUUAUCUCUCUCUAUAGACUCUCAUAUAUAUUAUAUAUGUGUGUCUAUAUAGUGUGUGUAUCUCUUAUAUAUAAAACACACACACACACACACACAGAGGCCUGAUGUAUUUCUAGCAGUGUCUUAGCCCAGGGACCAGAGCAUAUUAAAACUAGAAGGGGCCUUCAAGACCACGGACUCAUGGUUGGGAGAAGAGGAAACAGAGAGAUGGGGAGUGAUUCAGUGGUUAAGCCAAGAAUGAAACUCAGGUUUCCUGAGCAGAACCUCUCAUGUUGUGGGGGAGGAAACGGGAUCCAGAGAAGUCACUUAUCCAAGGUCACACGGUGAGUCAGGGGCUGAGCUGGAAGGGGAACCCAGAUUUCCCGAGUCUGGGUGUGGCUGCCCCCGGCCCCGGCCCCCCCAGCCCCAGGCUCGGGACACCAGGACUGGAUUCUUUCUUGGCCUUGGGCCUCGGGCUUGCUUUUCCCCUUUGCCUCAUGGUCGAGUCCUGCAGGAAGAUCCACCAGGAUCAGGGAGGAGGCCGGUGGGCGGAUAAUGGAGUGUCUCAGAAGGGGACACUGGGGCCAGUGGCAGUGAGGGUGGUAUUAUUAUUAUUAUUACUACUACGCUCCUCAUCCUAGUCGUCCUUAUUAUGAUCAUUAUCUGCCGCAUAAUAGCCCUCCCUAAUUGUUUCCCCUCUCAGGGCCCGGGAGCAGGCAUGUGACUUCUAUGCAGGAGGAGGCCGGGAGUCCUGCCCUCCAGCCCCCUCCUCCCGGGAGGACUGACUGACCAUCCCUUCUCCUGGCUCCCCUAAGGCCUUCUGGGCCCCACCCUGUUCCCUCCUCCCCUGUGGCUCACCCGCCCUGUCCCAGGGGAGGAUGUGGUCACAGCCGGGCAGGGCAGAGUUGGCGAGCUUUGAUGUAGCUGUGGAAUAACAGCUUUUGGGAGCGGCCCCCACCCCACCCCGCAAGCCCCUCUCCCCACAGGACGGCGCAGGGGCCCAGGGGUCAUUUUGUUUCCUCCUGGGAAGGCCAGAGGAGGGACGGAGGGGGCCGGGAGGGGGGCCCGGGCUGAGGCCCGAGCCGGGGCUGCCCUCAGGGAGCUCCCCGUGAGGGGCAAACACCUGUGACCGUUCCCAAGUAGCCGGCCUGGGAAGCAACCUGGACCCACCUGUGGGGCAGCUCUGCCCGGGACUAAGAGGGAGCUUUCCUGGGGAGCGGACCUUCUGCUCUUGUGUCUGAGGGAUCUGAGGAGUCCCUGGGACUUCUGCCAGACCCCCCGACUCCUGAGUAUGUCCCAAGGACCCCAAAGAAGGGCCCCGAGUCCCCGGCCAGCCCUUGGCGCUCGGGCCCUGGUGACUGGCAGCCCAGCCCAGGGAGCCCUGGAGGGGUGCCAGGCAGGUGGGGCUAGCAGAGGGUGGAGGUGGGAGGGAGGCCUAGGCUUGCUGGGUGGGGGGCCUUGGAGCAGAAUCCACGGCCAUGUUGCAGGAGUUGGACCGGGAGAGCCUCCAGGGUGGGGAGAGGGAGGGAGCGCCAAGCUGGAAAGGGGGGACUCUGUCCCGGGCGGGCCGCCCGCCUCUCACAGAUGGGGACUCGGUCCGGAUCCCUUUUAAGGUGCCUCCCAGCUCUGCCAUUCCCAGUCUCGGGCCCGGCUCACCCGGCCUGGGGAGGCCUGUGCCCGGGCAGGACUUUGUCCUGGGGGAGCCAGAGGCUGUCUGCCGGGGCUGCCUGUAGAUAAGCAGAGGCAGGAAGGGGGGAGCAGGGGGUGGGAGGGGCUCUGGGGUGGGGCCCUGGGCGAAGGAGGGCAGCAGGUAGUCCUGCUUCUGGGCUCGGGGCCAGGGGGAGGAAGCUUCCCCAGGGAGGGGGGGCUGCAGAGAAGGCUGGUGGGGGCUGCGAGCGGGGAAGGGAGAGCUGCUCGUCUGCCCAGGGUCAGGCUGGGUGAGCGCUGGGAGCGUGUCCAAAACAAGCAGGAGGUUGGGGUGGGGGGGUGAGGAUUGCAACAGGGCCCAGAGCAGCCUGGCUGAGGGGCCCGGGGGUGUUUCGAAAGAAAUUCCUGACAUUGGACAAGAAACAAAAACUGGGCCUCAGGGAGAGCGGGUGGGGGCGGGGCGGUUCCUGGAGAAGGGGGGUCGGAGGCCAGCCGCCCGGCCGGCACCCUCUCUGGCCCGGCUUCUGGCCCCCUUGUCCCCACUCUGGGGCCCAGCCUGGCCCCGGCCCAGCUCUCCCGGGGACCGUCUCCCUGGGCUGGUAAGGCCCCGAGCAAGGGGCUGCGGGAACAGCUGUGACCUCUGGCCGGGCUGGGAGAGAGCUCAGACAGCCGGGCCCAGCUUCAGGUCGAGGGCACCUGAAGGAGGAGGAGGAGGGGGGAGGAAGUCAGGCUGUGGGGCCAGGCUGAGUAAGUCAUUGGGCGGGCAAGAAUUGGGGAGGGCAGGGGGCACCCCGCCCAGCUUCUGACAUGCUCCCCACCCCCACAGCUCAAGCCACACAACUCACACAUGGCUCAAGGGACAAACAGAGGACAGGAAGGGAGAAAGGAAAGGGUGGGGAGCCCGCUCUCACAGCACGCCCUGGGCCUGGCCGGCAGAGGACCCCCACUCUCCCCAGGAGCCGCAGGGCGGCCUCCCACCGGUUAGGCAGGGUCCCCUCGGGCAGCCCCCAGACCCAGCACAUUUCUGCACGGCCCGCGGGCCCGUUCUGGGUCCCCUCUGUGGUGGGGGAGCCAUGUGUGGUGGAGGCUAUGGGGAGGCAGGAGCUGGAAGGGGCUUUAGUGACAGAGGUCACAGAUGCUCAGGUCUAGAACCCAGGCCCUGCUUUCCACUAAGAUGAGGUGCUGAGAGAGAGGGGUUGGGAGGUGGGGGCGGAGCCUCUUCCUUCUACACCCCAGGGCCCCAGGAAACUGCAAUCCUGCCCAGUGUGGGCGGCGCCAUGCUGGCACAAGCCUCUGCCAGGGACUGCUGGGCUGGGGGGGGGUGGAGGUGUGGGGCAGGGCCCCUGGGAAAGGUAGGUGGUGGGGGGCCGGCAUAAGACAGGUUCAGCCUGGGGGCCGCUCUGUCCUAGAACCCUUCCCAGCCCCCAUUGAUAGAAAUGCUGAAUGAGAGACCGGAAAUAUGGGGGGAGGGAGGUGGGGAGAAAGGCUUCCGGUUUCCACGGCAACAGUCUCCUGGCGUGCUCUCCCUCCCCCAGCAGCUCCUCAGUGCUGACGUCACAACUGGGAGGGAGCCCCCGAUGUAGUUUCUUCCCUCCCCUUCCCCAUCCAAGCCCGGUUCCGGGGCAGCAGUCCCUGCCUCCAUUUCUGAGGACCCUCACCCUUAGCCGGCGGAUGAUGCCGAGGCAGGGCCCGGGGCCCUAAGCCUGGAAGGAGGCGGCACCGUGGCUCUCGGGCCCUAGAAGGAAUUAUUCAAAUAAGCCCCUUGUUGUGACGGGCAGGCCUGGGUCCUGGCCCCGCCCCCUUCGGGUAGCCCUGGCCAAUAGGAGACAUGGAUUGUCGCUGUGGCCCGAGAGCGGGCGGGGCCUGGCCGAAAUGGGCGGGACCUCUCGGAGGGGGGGAGGGGGGAGAGGAGGUCGCGCCCCAGAUAUCCCCUUCCCCUUUUAAGAUCCGGAUGGAUUCUCUCUGAUCGCCCUUCCCCCACUAAUGGACUCUCUCAGGGCACCCCACUGGUCCCCUAAUACAUCCAGCGAGACCUCUCUCCAUUAUGUCCACAUGGAUUUUCCCAGAAAAGAAGGGAACUGACUGGCUCAGACUCGCAGGCGGCAGAAGCUGGAUGGAAAUCCAGGUCCCUGCUCUCCAGGCCCAGGGAGUUUCUUCGUGAGCCCAGAAAGAGAUGGAGGGAUGGAGAGCUGCAGAGACAGAACCUGGGGACCCAGACAGAGGCAGGGCCACAGAGAAGCAGAGCCAGGCCGGGAGCAGGGAGAGGCAGAAAGGCAUCCCUCUCUGCCCCCUCCCCACAGGACAGCAGUGGCAGCUGGCAGCCCCUUCCCUCGCCAGCCAGAUUAAAUUGCAUCCCUUCCCCCGCCCAGCACGGCCGGGGGUGGUGUGAGGGGCCCCGUUCACCUGUGCCAGGUGACUCUCAGAUCUGCCCUGGCCCCUCUACACCUGAAAUUCCACACCCAUCCUCACCUUGGAAACGAGACUGCGGCAGGGGUGGGGGUGGGGAGAGAGGAUCUGCCUGGGAGGGCCUGUGGGGGAUGGGCUUGGGAAGGAGAAGGAGGAGGAGGGGAAGGAGAAGAUGGAAGAGGAGGAAGAAAAGGAGGCCUGGAAAAGAGGGGGCAGGGAGAGGAAGAAGGGGAGGAGGAGGAAGAGGAUGGAAGAUAAGAGAUCAGCCUCUUACUGGCUCAGGUUCCAGCCUCCCAUCCGGACCAGUUAGGUGACCCUGAGUAACAUUUAAUUUACUAUAUAUAGGACUUUGGUUCUAAAACCACAGCUGAAGUAGAUGGUGAAAGAUUAGAAUGUAAGCCACUCGAAGGUAA